UAAUAGUGUAUAUUAAAGUUGUUGCAGUUAAAAAGCUCGUAGUUGAAUGUUGGUGUCGAACGAGCGGUCAGCUUCGGCUGUACUGCUCUCUCGACUCCUUCCUUCUGUGGACUACGUCGCACUUUACUGUGUGGCGCUAGGACGCAGAUCGUUUACUGUGAAAAAAUUAGAGUGUUCAAAGCAGGCCAUACGCUUGAAUACAUUAGCAUGGAAUAAUGGAAUAGGACGUCGGGCCUAUUUUGUUGGUUCUAGGACCGUCGUAAUGAUUAAUAGGGACAGUUGGGGCCGUUUAUAUUCCGUAGUCAGAGGUGAAAUUCUUGGAUUUACGGAAGAUAAACUACUGCGAAAGCAUUCGGCAAGGAUGUUUUCGUUAA
rnacentral:rRNA from 1 species